CCUACGGGUGGCAGCAGUAGGGAAUAUUGGGCAAUGGGCGCAAGCCUGACCCAGCGACGCCGCGUGAGGGAUGAAGGUCUUCGGAUUGUAAACCUCUUUCAGUAGGGAAGAAGCGAAAGUGACGGUACCUAAAGAAGAAGCACCGGCUAACUAUGUGCCAGCAGCCGCGGUAAUACAUAGGGUGCAAGCGUUGUCCGGAAUUAUUGGGCGUAAAGAGCUCGUAGGUCGUUUGUCGCGUCGAUUGUGAAAAUCUGAGGCUCAACCUCAGACCUGCAGUCGAUACGGGCAAACUAGAGUGUGGUAGGGGAGACUGGAAUUCCUGGUGUAGCGGUGGAAUGCGCAGAUAUCAGGAGGAACACCAAUGGCGAAGGCAGGUCUCUGGGCCAUAACUGACACUGAGGAGCGAAAGUGCGGGGAGCGAACAGGAUUA
rnacentral:rRNA from 1 species